UGAAGUAAUCAGCAUCAUUUUCCUUCCCCGUUCUUCCUAGUUUCACUCGGCGGGUAUAUAAGCCAGCCGAACAGGCCUUCAAAUCAACCAGUCUUCAUCCGACAACGUUAAACACAACAACAACAAUCAUCAUGUCUUCUCUUAAAGUAUUCGUUCUCUUGGCCGUCGUUGUCGCCAUGGCUGCUGCUUAUCCCCAGAGUUAUGACGCUCCUUACGAAGCUGCACCAUCAUCCGGCUACGCUGCUCCUGCCUACAAAGGAGCUGGAUACGCCAACGGCCGUGUUAAGAUGCAAGUCUACCGUGGUCCCAGCAAGGGUUACGAAGGCAAGGGAGGAUACGGUGGCGACUACGGCUUCGCUCCUUGGGGAUUCUACGUCACACAGCCCGAAGAUAACAAGGCUUACGGUUACUAAGAACUCGACCACACCGUGGAGUGACAGUUACUUCUACGAUCAGCCCCUAACUUGAACGACCUAACUGAAGUGAACAGGACGCGUGAUGCUGGACCAUUACACGCUCAUCUGACUUCGUUUCAUUCAUUUCAUCUUUCAUUACAUUAUUAUUUUAUUUCUGGAUUUGCGUACCUCGUUUCGCAAUAAACAGAUCAUUGAACCAUCAAAA